CCCCCCCACGAGUCCCCUCUUGCUCCGGCAUGAGAAGACCCUCGUCUUCUCCCCUCUCUCACUUCACCAAACUAAAAAUCUCUUCCCUAAAUACGCUUGCAUUCGCUUACCCUCAACUCCAUCCCCAUAAAACUCCCCCAAAACCCUUCCCGAAAUGCCCUUCCUCCUCCGCCGCCACAUCCAAAACAUUUCUCAAAAUGCCCCUCCUCUCUCUGUUCGUCACUGAACACCAUAGGGGACGUUUUGGCGGCUUUCAGAUCCUCUGAUUCCUCUUUGAAAGUCGAUUCUUUAGCCUCCCCCCCCCCAAAUCUCUUGUAAAAGCCGUAGAUGUUAGUGCCAACGCUUUGGGGAUCUUUGAAAGAGAUUAAAGCCGGUCAAUUUCCGUGGCGAGAGCACUUCGCUUGCCGAUCUUGAUCAGUUGCAGGCUUCAUGAUAGCUUGGAGUCAGCGGUAGCGAUUCUUGAUCGAUUCGAGAAGGAGGGUUUCAGUGAUUCUCAAUUUAAAAUUGUUCUCCUCGGGGUACAACUUUUGGCUGGUACGAGCGAAUUCUUAUAUGGGGCGCUUGGAUCACUCUAGCUUUUGGAAUUGAGGAGGUCUAUUGCUCAAGCCUAUUAAUGCAGAAGUUGCUGUGUAUCAGCGUUUGACAGUAGCGUAUGCAGUUGAUUCUGAUUUCAAGAGAGGUAUUGCCAUUGUGUUGGAAAGAAUUGGAGAUAUUAAUUUGAAUUAACAUUAUAGCCUUGAUUCGAUUGAGGUUGCUACGGUCAGGAAACUUCUUCGCUCGUUUAUAUUGGAUUUAAUGAGAAUGACAAGGCAUUGGAAUAGAAUGCAAGGAAUUAAGAAGUUUAUAUAUCGGAUUCUGAAAUGUUAGAUUUGGACCUAGAAACAACGCAUAUAAGGAUUUCAGUGGGGAGGCCCGGUGAAGCAACUGUAAUAAUGAAAGAAUUUGAUUUAGAUACUGGAGAAGGAAAGAAAGAUGUGGGAUUUUGCAUUUGUGUCCAUGGCAAGAGGCUCGUGCACCCAAGCUAGGAAAGGGGAGAGCAGGGUUAAGGAUUAGCUUUAGGCAAAUGCAUUGUGGGUUAGAGUUAGUAAACAUUUUGAACUGCCUUAUUUGGAGGUCGGUAAGCCUGAUCAAGCUUUGUGGGUGGUUGGAACUGCAUGUAACAUCUUUGCUAGAUGUUCCGGGCUACCACAAGAGGACUCCAUCGAUGCUGGUUAAUCCCUUGCCGAUGCAUAUGCAACAAAAGGAAGGCCUAAUGCUGGUGAUGAACUAAGUGAAGCCCACAAGCUAUCCGAAUGUCUUAAAAGCCCUGCGAUCACCACAAGGUUAUCAAAGUGAAAGCUAUUCAUCUGUUAUUAAUUCAUACACUGUCAAUGUCAAGGAUUUGAAGGGAGAUUAGUUGUUGCCGUUGCGAAUUUACAGUUGUAAUUAUCAAGGGUCUCUAUUGAAUUGGACAUUCGGUUGGAAAAAAUGUGAAUUUGAGGAUUUUUCUCAAAGCUAGUGCAUAUAAUCACAAUACUUAAUAGCAUGGAUUGAGGUUCCAAACACGUCCAACUUAUCAACAUCACAAGGGAUUGAAAUGGAAUCAUCAUAAAUUACCUGGUAGCAUGGAUUCAAUUUUAUGAUACCCAAAUUCAAGUGUGAAGUACUUCUGAAUUAAAAGAUAAAGACAAUGGUACAACGCGGAAUGGAGGGACUCAUUUCAAAUAAGGUAUGUGUUUAUGUAUUUGAUUAAAAAAUUCUAUGAUUGCCAACGAAAUUGACAGGUGGAGAUGGUCUUUUGCCUGGCACUGAAACCUAAUAUGUGGAAAAACUAAAACAAUAGAGUUUGCUUUGGAGAUUGAUGUGAUUAUAAUACUCUAGAGAGAAAAAGACUACAGUUUCCAUGUGAUGCUUCUUGCUGCGGUCAGAGAUUAGUUUAGAAAUGAAGAAUCAACAUGCCUUCACUCUUGGACUGCAUAUGGGGAACCCUUUGGUCCAAAUAUAUAUGGUACGUGAAGAUUUUAUACAGGUGGGUCAUUUAGAACAAGAUGCUGUCCAAGUUUACACAGGUGGAUCAUUUAGAAAAAGAUGUUGUCCAAGUUUAUACAGGUGGAUCAUUUAGAGCAAGAUACUCUCAAUAAAUGUAGAUGAUUAAUGCUGACAAUUAGGACUCGUGUUCUUAUUUA